UAUUUUCAGUUUGAAGAUCUGCUAUUGAUAUUUAUUUGAUUCAUGGUCCAUAUAAUUAAUUACUAUACAUUCUAUAGGUGAGUGAACAUUAUAUUUAUAUAUUGGACAUUUGAUGAUUUAUUUUAUCAAUUGAAACUCAGAAAUAUAUUGUAAAUUUUAAAUGUUAAGGCCCUAGGGGUAAAUUCAGUAAAAAAUCUCCCAUUGACUUUAAUGCUAAUCUAUGUGUGGAAAUAAAUUUAUACCUGAUUACCUUAGAAAUUAAAUUCUUCAUAUAUCAUUCAUGAAAGUACAUGUAGCCCUAUCUUUUGCAACAAUAAAAACAUAGGGUCUGCGCAUUUUUGGGCAUUCACAUGGCUUGUUUACAAACAAUGUAGAUUCGCACUGAAUUCUAUACUGACCCCCAUUACUUUUCAAACCCUGAAGGGGAAAAAUUAGUACAUUCAGCAUAUAUUUUUUAUUUUUUUUUCAACUCUAGUUUGUCCAUCUACCAAAAAUAUUUAUUACAAAACAUUAUCUGCCAAUCAGAAGAGCAUAUAACUUCAGUGUUAUACAGAAAGCUCUCCCCUAAAUGGGCGGUCCCUGAUGACGUAUAUUUAUUUACUGAAUUUACCCCUAUAAGGGACUUUUUUACUUCUUUUCAACUUUUUUGUAAAAACAUGUAAUGUAUCCAAUUUCCAAGUUCCAGUUCAAUACAACCUUAUAAAUGCGAAUGUAAAGAUAGAGCAAAAUUUAUACUACGCCAUACUGCGGCCAUGUAUAUUUGGUAUAUAAAGUGCGCAUUGACUUUUUUAAAAGAAUGGUGUAAUACAGUAUAUAAUCGUAUUCUAAAUCCAUGAAGUAUGUCUAUUCUAUUGUUUGUCUCCAAAGUCGAUGACUCAAGUUUUGCAGUUUCCAUACUACAAACUUAUACAAUCUGGGUACGUAAUUUGGAUGUGUUUCUCUCCGAAUAUUUGCCCAAAUAGGUGGGUUUGCGACUGAAUAGGCCAUGAAAAAGAUAUCAAAUAGAUUAUUCCAAAACUUUUGGAUAGACAGCUAUUCUAUAACCCAUAAAAAUCAACGAAUUCAUUGCUUACGUGAAAUGUAUCAUAAACUGCUUUAAUAUUCUUUUAUCGACGUUAUAAAAAAAUGUCUCAUGGGCAAUAUCAGUUUCUGCAGACUUUAUUCUACUACUUUACGCUCAAAAAAAUAAUCAUGAUAAUGUUUUUUUCCCAAAUAUACAUAUAGGAUAAUAUUGAAUGUGAGAAAGGAUAUAUGCCACAUUCCCACAAUAUAAAAAUGCAAUAAGCUUUCUAGGUAUGACCAUACCAAUAUUUGACAUUAAUUUGUGAAUUGUAUUGCAUUUACAGGAAAUGAGUUUUUGUGAUUAUUGUGUGGCCUUGGACAAGUAACAGUGAAAAAGUGCAUAUUUUACUAUAGGGGUAAAUUCAGUAAAAAAAUUUCCCAUUGACUUUAAUGCUAAUCUAUGUGUGGAAAUAAAUUUAUACCUGAUUUCCUUUACAAAUUAAAUUCUUUCAUAUAUCAUCAUGAAAGUACAACAUGUAGCCCCUCUUUUGCAACAAUAAAAAACAUAGGGUCAUGCGGCAUUUUUGGGCAUUCAAAUGGCCUUGUUUACAAACAAUGUAGAUUCGCACUGAAUUCCUAUACUGACCCCCAUUAUUUUUCAACCCUGAAGGGAAAAAAAUAGUACAUUUAGAAUAUACUUUUUAUUUUUUUCAACUCUAGUUUUGAUCCAUCUACCUAAAAAUAUUUAUUACAAACAUUAUCUGACAAUUAGAAGACCAUAUACUUCAGUGUUAUACAGAAAGCUCUCCCCUAAAUGGGCGGUCCCUGAUGACGUAUAUUUAUUUACUGAAUUUACCCCUCUAAGUAGCAUUGCACCAGUCUUUGUAUUAAAUGGGAGAUAAUCCAGAGCUGGCACAUUCAUUCUAAGUAGCAUUACACAGUGUUUGUCAUAAAGGGGAAUAACCAGACCUGCGCAUCAUUCUACGUAGCAUUACACAGUGUUGUAUUAAAAGGGGAUAAUCCAGCGCUGGCGCAUUCAUUCUAAGUAGCAUUACACCAGUCUUUGUAUUAAGGGGGAGAUAAUCCAGAGGUGACACUUUCAUUCUAAGUAGCAUUACACCAGUGUUUGUUUUAUUUAAGGGGAGAUAAUCCAGAGCUGGCGCAUUAAUUCUAAGUAGCAUUACACCAGUGUUUUUAUACGACCUCAAAAAGUGAAAAUUUUUUGGUCUUAUAUUGGUAUCACGUUGGCGUCAGCGUCGUCGUCGUCGUCGUCUGAAUACUUUUGGUUUUCGCAGCUAUAAUUAAGUUUAAAGUAAAUAGAAAUCGUGAAAUUUUAACACAAGGUUAGACCAACAAAAGAAGGUUCGAUAUUUUGGAAGUUUUGGUCCACCAGUAAGAAUUAGGGCCAAAAAUGGCCCAAUAAGCAUUUUCUUGGUUUGCACUAUACACUUUAGUUUAAGUAAAUAGAAAUCUAUGAACUUUUGACACAAGGUUAUGACCCUAAGGAAGGCGUGAUUGAUUCUGCAGUUUUGGUUCAACUGUUUAGGAAAUAAGGGGCCAAAAAAAAGGGCCCAAAAUACGCUUAUUCUUGUUUUUGCAACAGUAACUUUAGUAUAAAAAAUAGAAAUCAUGAAUUUAACACCAAAGGUUAUGAACACAGAAGAAGGUUUGGGAUUGAUUUUGGAGUUGAGAUCCCUACAGCUUAGGAAUUAGGGGCCCAAAUAAGCUUUUUCUGGUUUUUGCACCAUAACUUUAGCACCAUAAUUAAUAUAGAAAUAUAUAUGAAAUUUAAACACAAUGUUUAUGACCAUUAAAGGAAAGUUGGGAUUGAUUUUGGGAGAUUUGGUCCCAAGUUCCCAACAGUUAAGGAAUAGCCCAAAGGGUCCAAAAUUAAACUUUGUUUGAUUUCAUCAAAAAUUGAAUAAUUGGGUUCUUUGAUCAUGUUGAUAUGCCGAAUCUAACUGUGGUAUGUAGAUUUUGAUUUUUUGUCCGUUUUCAAUUGGUCUACAUUAAGGUCCAAAGGUCCAAAUUAAACCUUAGUUUGAUUUUAACAAAUUGAAUCCUUCGGUCUUUGAUAUGCUUAUCUAAAAAUGUAGUAGCGUUUUUUAUAGGCCCAGUUUUCAAGUUGGUCCAAAUAAGGGUCCAAAAUUAAACUUUGUUCGAUUUCAUCAAAAAUUGAAUAAUUGGGGUUCUUUGAUAUGCUAAAUCUAAUUGUGUAUGUAGAUAAUUUCUUAAUUGUUGGUCCCGUUUUCAAAUUGGUCUACAUUAAAGUCCAAAGGGUCCAAAAUUAAACUAAGUUUGAUUUUAACUGAAAUUGAAUUCUUGGGCUUCUUUGAUAUGCUGAAUCUAAAAAUGUACUUAGAUUUUUGAUUAUGGGCCCAGUUUUCAAGUUAGUCCAAAUCAGGAUCCAAAAUUAUUAUAUUAAAUAUUGUGCAAUAGCAAGAAAUUUUCAAUUGCACAGUAUUCAGCAAUAGCAGGAAAUCUUCAAUUGCAUAGUAUUGUACAAUAGCCAGAAAUUUUCAAUUGCACAGUAUUGCGCAAUAGCAAGAAAUCUUCAAUUGCACAGUAUUGUGCAAUAGCAAGUAUUUUCAAUUGCACAGUAUUGCACAAUAGAAAGAAAUAUUUAAUUGCACAAUAUUGCGGCAAUAGCAAGAAAUUUUCAAUUGGAGUUAUCUUUCUUUGUCCAGAAUAGUAGUUGUAUCAACUUAAAUCAUUGUUUUAUACAAUAUACAAUGUAUAUUCACUUUUACUACCAACUGAUAAAUUAAAACAAUCUUUACCAUUCAGUGAUAACAAACACUUUUUUUCUCAAUUUUUCUCAUUUAACAUUUUUUUGAGAUGAUUAAUAUUCAACAGCAUAGUGAAUUGCUCAAAGGCAAAAAACAAAUUUUAAAGUUUAUUAGACCACAUUCAUUCUGUGUCAGAAACCUAUGCUGUGUCAACUAUUUAAUCACAAUCCAAAUUUAGAGCUGAAUCCAGCUUGAAUGUUGUGUCCAUACUUGCCCCAACCGUUAAGGGUUCAACCUCUGCGGUCGUAUAAAGCUGCGCCCUGCGGAGCAUCUGGUUAAUGUUGUUGGAACAAGAUUAACACAACUUGUAUUCAGCAGCUGUUGUAUAAGGGGAGAUCUAGACAAAAAAUAAAAUGACAUAAUUCCAAAAUUAAUUGCAUUUGGGAGUUGAUCGAAGCUUAAUUAAACAUUGCAAGCAUUACAAAUAGAGAUGUAAACUAAGAAAUCAAUUGUUGUUUAUGAUUGUAAGAUGGGAGGUCUUUGUCAAUGAGACAGCAAACAAUCAACAAAAGAGGUCAACAUUUUAUUUAAAAUAGAUUAGUGUCUGUAACGUGUUGUUUUUAUUUCAUUUAUAUUUUCAGUUUGAACGUCAUCUAUAAUGUCUAUUAUCGAUAUUUAUUUGAUAAUUGUCCAGUCCUUGGGAUCAUUGAAUGUAGAAUUUUAACUCUGACAGGGGCAAUAAUUAACAGAUAUCAUAUAUUUCACAUUCAAAAUAUCAUAACACCUGUCUUUUUAUAGUAAACAAGACACUAAAAACAAAGAAUGCAUCUUGUAAAAGUAAAGGUUAAGAGGCCUAUACCAAUGAGACAGCAACCAAUCAAUGAAAGAGGUCAAAAUGGAAUCAAACAAUAGACAUGAUAGACAAGCAUCUUUAUAACAUGUUAAUAAUUAUUUCAACCUAAAAUAGAAACAUUCUCAUUUUAUACAUCUAUCAUCAGUAUUCAUUCACAUGCUGUCGAUUUGAUCCCGGUCACGUCAAGUUGAUCCUUGUCCAGUCAAGUUGAUCCUUGCCCCAUUUGAUCCUUGUCCAGUCAAGUUGUGUCCUUGUCCAGUCAAGUUGAUCCUUGUCCAGUGGAUUUGAUCCUCUGUCCAGUGUGAUUUGAUCCCUGUCCAGUCAAGUUGAUCCUUGUCCAGUCAACUUGAUCUCUGUCCAGUCAGACUGUUGUUAUAGGUAAGUACUUCAUAUGUUAACUAUAUAGGAUCAUUUACUACUGAAAUUUAAUUCUAAUGUAAAAUAUUCAAACUCUAUAAGGGGAGAUAAUCAAGAAAUAGUUUGAACAUUCAAAAUACCCAAAACCAAUACAUUAUAGUAAACAAGACGCACAAAUCAAAUUGUAUUGCAACGUUUAAUGAUUUAUUUUAUCAACAGUCUUCACGCUUAACCACAAGUCCUAUGACCAUGAUGACCCAGGCUUGUAAAAUUGCUUGGAGGCUUGUACAUUUCUUCUCUACAAGCCGACAGAAGACAACUAAAAGUUUUAAAAAAUUGAGCUUAGGGCUUGUGGACUCAAACUUUAUCGUGGAGACUGUAUCGAUUGAAACUCGGAAAUAUAUUGAAAUUUUAAAUGUGAAAAUUCUUAAAGGGGAGAUAAUCCAGAGCUAUAGGAUUCAUUCUAAAAAAGCAUUAAACAAGUGUUUUUAUUAAUUCUUUUUGAAAAAGAUUAACAUUUUGCAUUCUGCAGCUUUUGUACAAGGGGAGACAAAAAAUAAAAUGACAUAAUUCCAAAAUUAAUUGCAUUUGGGAGUUGAAACUUAUUAAACAUUGCACAUUGUUGCAAGCAUUACAAAUAGAGUUGUUAACUAAGAAAUCAAAAUGUGUUUUAUGAUUGUAAGAUGGGAGGUCUAUGUCAAUGAGACAGCAACCAAUCAACAAAAGAGGUCAAAAUGGUUUUUAACAAUAGACAAGUGUCUGUAACCUGUUUUUAUUUCAUUUAUAUUUUCAGUUUUAACAUCUAUAAUGUCUAUUAUUAAUUUUUAUUUGAUCAUUGUCCAGUCCUCGUAAUUAUUGUCCAGUUCUUGUGGAUCAUUGACUGUCCAGUCAAUUUAAUGCUUGUCCAGUUGAGUUGUUAUUAUAGUUAAGUGCACAUUGUAUGUGAACUAUAUACAAUCAUUUAUAUUUAUUAUUGAAAUUUAUUUCAAAAGAGUUGAAUUUUAACUCUGACAGGGGAGAUAAUUAACAAUAUAUUUUACUUUUAAAAUAUCACAAGACCUGUGUUUUUAUACAGUAAACAAGACAUCUAUAAUACUAAAAUUACGAGGUCCAAUUUGUCAGCCGUCAUCACGUAAAAACGUAAAAACGACGAAUCAAAGAAUUCAGCUUUAUAUAUAACUAAUAUAGUACAAAGGUGUAGAUUAAAAAUUACACCACUCAAGGCCCUUUUGUUUUCCACGUAAUUAAUAUUGCCAAUCAUUAAGAAGUUCCGGGUCGAGUCCGAUACCGAUACCAAUAGUAUAUUCACCUGUUACCUAUCCUUAUCUGUACGUUCUGCAUCUAACAGGUGCACCACCAAACGGUGUAUUUAGGAUUAUGCUAUAUACACGGAUCAUAAUCACAGGGUUGACACUACUAAAUUCAAUCAUUGUCAAAUUGUUACCUAAUUGUAGUAUUUUAAUCAGUAAGACUUUCUAAGAUAACAAUACGAAUACUAAAAAUCUGGACUAAAAAUAAGGUGUAUAUAGGAACCGUUUUCAAUUCGUUAGCGGGCAUGACAUAAAACAGUGAAUCAAAGAAUUCAACUUUAUUUAUAACUAACAUAGGACAAUGCUGUUGAUUAAAAAAUACUCCAUUCCAGGACCUUUUGUUAUCCAAAUAAUUAAUAUUACCAAUAAUUGAUAAGUUCCAGUUCGAUGGGUUCAAACAGAAAGAUUUGAAAGCAGAGAAAACUGUGUAUCUUAUAAUCGGCAUGACUUUAUCAGAUAAAAAAUAAUACUAAAAUAAGGCUGCGCAGUAAACAAGCGAUAUCACGGUGUGUUCUAGUUAAAACAAAGAAUGCAUCCUGUAUGAGUGAAGGUUUAGAGGCCUAUAUCAAUGAGACAGCAACCAAUCAAUAAAAGAGGUCAAACAAUACACAAGCAUCUUUAUUACAUGCAUUUAUUAUUUCAACCUGAAAUAGAAACAUUUAUAUUCUCAUUUUAAGCAUCUGUCAUCUGUAUUUAUUUGAUCCUUGUCUGGUCAAGUUGAUCCCUGUCCUGUCGAUGUGAUCCCUGUCCAGUCAAGUUGAUCCCUGUCCUGUCAAGAUGAUGUUAUAG
rnacentral:lncRNA from 1 species